AACGUUGAUGCCCAAAUCAUUGAUUGAAUCUGCAAUUGAUUGAAGAUGAUCUUUCAAAUAUGAACUAAACGAACACCGUAACAAGACGGAGAAUUCAACAACGUCGUACCAAGACGACGAUCAACACAGACGCCGCACUCAGACGACGAUAUCACACAAAUAAAAAAGAAAAACAACUAAAAAACUUAAUCUAUGUGAAAAAUCACUUAUUUAGAUUGAAAACAACAAGAAAAAAGGUGAAGAGGGGUGAUUUUAGGCCAAAUAUGACCUAAAAUCACCCCUAACUAAUAGAGGAAGAAGAAACUCAGAGAAAAAGAAAAUAGGGCCGGCUAGAGAAAGAUGUUUAACACUUGUGUACUUUCCUACUUGUAACAUAUAUAGUGUGUAAUGCAUGCAAUGUACGGCUUAUUUCUGAUCGAUUGUUAGUUGUAAGAAAAAAUAUAUAUAAUAAAUGUUAUUGAAUAUUAUAGCAAUGAUGUUAUAUUCGACUUUUCAUUUAGUUUAUCCAAAAAAAUAAUAUUUGAUUUAGUCGAUUUUAGUUAAAAUAUGUCACUUCUUACUCAAUAUAUAUAAAUUAAAUUCUCUGCGAUGAGCUUAGAACAUAUAAUACAUGAACAACAACUUCUAAUAUAUAAAUCCAUAAUCGUGUUAACAUAAACAUAAAUACAAUUGGACUUGAUACAUUAGCGAUAGCUCCUCUAGACAUAAUAUUAGUCAAGGGUGUGAUUGCUGGGGAUUAAGGUAUGAUAUUGGAGGAGCUGGAGAUUAGUCAAGGGUGUGUGAAGAUACAUUGUGAUAGUCAGUGUCAUUCAUCUGAAAAAUCAUCAAGUGUAUCAUGAAAGGACAAAACACAUUGACAUUCAAUUGCACUAAUAUGAAGCCAAACCACCUUCCAUAAAUCACGGUUGUUGGAACAAAAUUGGCUCUAAAGCCCUAAGUAAAAUUAUAAGUUUUGAUGAUAACAAUAAGUAUUAAAAUGCGCAAUUUGUAGUACUGGCGUUUAAUCCAAGUGUGCAAGAUCUUAUAAGCAAAUUCUGAUAUUCUUAAGUUCUUGAGUAAAGAAACAAGUUUUGAAGGGAUUCAGAAGCAAAGAUGAACAAGAGGCUCUUUCCCGUCAGAAGACUUUGAAGCAAGAAGUUAUCAGAGGCAAGCUUUAGUCAGAAGCAUCCAACCAUCAGAGGCAAGAAGCUAUCAAAAGCUGGUCAGCGCAUAUGGAGUUGAUAAGCAUCAAUCAUGCCAGAAAUUUCAGAGAACGUUGGGAGUAAG
rnacentral:lncRNA from 1 species